CGAGGUGCGACGGCGGCGCCUGCGAGCCGAGGUGCGACGGCGGCGGCCGCGUCGUCUCCCUCCCUCCAUCCAUCCAUCCACUGCAGGUGAGUCCCGACGCCGCAGCUCUCCCCUUGCUGUGAUUGCAGCUUCGAUCUAUGGGUACAACUUCAGAUGUAGAAAAAAAAUUGGUGUAAAUGAGGGAUAAUCAGGUGUUCUUAGACUAGCUGUGCAACAGAUGGCAUUGCGGGAUCUAGUAUUUGGUUGAACACAUAAGCAAUUCGUUUCCUUUAUUACUGAUUAAUAAGGAACCAGAUAUCAAAUAAGUGGAAAAAGGGAUCAAAUUGUUAAGUUUCAUGGGGAAAUAAUCAUCUGACGUACACAAGCACCGUGUUCAACAUUGUUGCAUUGCCGAGUAGUAUCAGCUAGAGUGCUAUAGAUGGCACUCACAUACCGGUUGAGGUGAAUCAAGAAGCCAGAGUGGACUUCAUUAAUAGGGAUGGAGAAGUUUCGAUAAAUGUUUGCGCCAUAGUGGACAUGCAUGGCAGAUUCACCUAUGUGGGAGCCGGGAAGACGGAUGCAUGUCAUGACAUGGCGGUUCUACAAGAUUGUCAGGCGGAUCAAAGGUUUCCCGCAUCCACCACCAGGACGGUACUACAUGGCGGACUCGGGAUACAUGGAGCAACAAGGAUACAUGACUCCUUUCCGGGAUACUAGGUAUCAUAAGACACAUUUUAGGGGCAUUGAUGUUCGCACAUUAGAUCGUCAGGAGAAAAUAAACUACAUUCACUCGAAGCUACGCAAUGUCAUUGAGCGGAGGUUUGGGCAUCUGAAAGAGUGGUGGCAUAUCUUGGAAGGGGUUCUAUUUUUCAGGAGGGAAAAGCAAGCAUGGGUUAUCAUAUCCUGUUUUGCAAUGGCCAAUUAUUUGUGGCUGCGUAAGUAUGGAGAUGGUUCGACAUACGAUCCAUCAGAUUGGGUGGCGAUGAAUACUGCAACGAAUAUCUCAGUUCUGAGGGAGUUGGUAUCUAUUGCUGUGUGGCCUUCAUCAUGAGUAUUAAUUCGUUUCUAGUUUGCAAGUUUGAAACCAUUUGUAAUGUAAUGAACUACUAUUACAUUAAGUGAUGGGGAUAACUGAUGCGGGUCAUGGACAUGGAUACAUUCCCUCGAAGCUACGCAAUAUCAUUGAAGUGGCUGCUAUUUUCUAGCUUU